GAUGAAGAACGUAGCGAAAUGCGAUAAGUAAUGUGAAUUGCAGAAUUCAGUGAAUCAUCGAAUCUUUGAACGCACAUUGCGCCCGCCAGUAUUCUGGCGGGCAUGCCUGUUCGAGCGUCAUUUCAACCCUCAAGAACCCUUCGGGGGACUUGGUGUUGGGGACCGGCACAGGGGCCUGCCUGCUUGUCUUGCAGCGCCCUCGCCGCCCCCGAAAUGAAUUGGCGGCCUCGUCGCGGCCGCCCCUGCGUAGUAGCACAAACCUCGCACCGGGAACGUGACGGCGGCCACUGCCGUAAAACAACCCAAUUUUAUUAGAGUUGACCUCGAAUCAGGUAGGAAUACCCGCUGAACUUAAGCAUAUCAAUAAGCGGAGGA
rnacentral:misc_RNA from 1 species